rnacentral:rRNA from 1 species
ACUCCUACGGGAGGCAGCAGUGGGGAAUUUUGGACAAUGGGGGCAACCCUGAUCCAGCCAUUCCGCGUGAGUGAAGAAGGCCUUCGGGUUGUAAAGCUCUUUCAGCAGGAACGAAACGGUGGCUACUAAUACUAGCUACUAAUGACGGUACCUGAAGAAGAAGCACCGGCUAACUACGUGCCAGCAGCCGCGGUAAUACGUAGGGUGCGAGCGUUAAUCGGAAUUACUGGGCGUAAAGCGUGCGCAGGCGGUUAUGUAAGACAGGUGUGAAAUCCCCGGGCUUAACCUGGGAACUGCGCUUGUGACUGCAUAACUCGAGUGUGGCAGAGGGGGGUGGAAUUCCACGUGUAGCAGUGAAAUGCGUAGAGAUGUGGAGGAACACCGAUGGCGAAGGCAGCCCCCUGGGUCAACACUGACGCUCAUGCACGAAAGCGUGGGGAGCAAACAGGAUUAGAUACCCUGGUAGUCCACGCCCUAAACGAUGCGAACUAGGUGUUGGGGAAGGAGACUUUCUUAGUACCGCAGCUAACGCGUGAAGUUCGCCGCCUGGGGAGUACGGUCGCAAGAUUAAAACUCAAAGGAAUUGACGGGGACCCGCACAAGCGGUGGAUGAUGUGG